rnacentral:rRNA from 1 species
AUGAACGCUGGCGGCGUGCCUAAUACAUGCCAGUCGAGCGAACGGACGAGAAGCUUGCUUCUCUGAUGUUAGCGGCGGACGGGUGAGUAACACGUGGAUAACCCACCUAUAAGACUGGGAUAACUUCGGGAAACCGGAGCUAAUACCGGAUAAUAUUUUGAACCGCAUGGUUCAAAAGUGAAAGACGGUCUUGCUGUCACUUAUAGAUGGAUCCGCGCUGCAUUAGCUAGUUGGUAAGGUAACGGCUUACCAAGGCAACGAUGCAUAGCCGACCUGAGAGGGUGAUCGGCCACACUGGAACUGAGACACGGUCCAGACUCCUACGGGAGGCAGCAGUAGGGAAUCUUCCGCAAUGGGCGAAAGCCUGACGGAGCAACGCCGCGUGAGUGAUGAAGGUCUUCGGAUCGUAAAACUCUGUUAUUAGGGAAGAACAUAUGUGUAAGUAACUGUGCACAUCUUGACGGUACCUAAUCAGAAAGCCACGGCUAACUACGUG